rnacentral:misc_RNA from 1 species
GCUCCUACCGAUUGAGUGAUCCGGUGAAUUAUUCGGACUGACGCAGUGCUCAGCUUCUGGACGUUGCGUUGGAAAGUUUCAUGAACCUUAUCACUUAGUGGAAGGAGAAGUCGUAACAAGGUUUCCGUAGGUGAACCUGCAGAAGGAUCAAUAUCGUAAUAGAGUCGUGUAGGGUAAGAGUCUAGAUCUCGGUGGUCGUCGCAUCAUUAAAAAAAAAAUCAAUCCCCAUCACUUUUCCACCCUACGUCUCUUAUCGCAUUGUUCUCACAUGUUGUUC